rnacentral:rRNA from 1 species
ACAGAGGUCCCAAGCGUUGUUCGGAUUUACUGGGCGUAAAGGGUGCGUAGGUGGCGGGGUAAGUCUGGUGUGAAAGCUCCGAGCUCAACUCGGAAAAGCAUUGGAAACUAUCCCGCUGGAGGGUCGGAGGGGAGACUGGAAUUCUCGGUGUAGCAGUGAAAUGCGUAGAUAUCGAGAGGAACACCAGUGGCGAAGGCGAGUCUCUGGACGACUCCUGACACUGAGGCACGAAAGCUAGGGGAGCAAACAGGAUUAGAUACCCUGGUAGUCCUAGCUGUAAACGGUGCACAUUUGCUGUAAGAGGAAUCGACCCCUUUUGUGGCGAAGCUAACGCGUUAAAUGUGCCGCCUGGGGAGUACGGUCGCAAGAUUA